rnacentral:rRNA from 1 species
CCUACGGGAGGCAGCAGUGGGGAAUAUUGCACAAUGGGGGAAACCCUGAUGCAGCGACGCCGCGUGAGUGAAGAAGUAUUUCGGUAUGUAAAGCUCUAUCAGCAGGGAAGAAAUAGCUACCUUUAAGUCGCCAGACGGUACCUGAUUAAGAAGCCCCGGCUAACUACGUGCCAGCAGCCGCGGUAAUACGUAGGGGGCAAGCGUUAUCCGGAUUUACUGGGUGUAAAGGGAGCGUAGACGGCAGCGCAAGUCUGAAGUGAAAUGCCGGGGCUUAACCCCGGAACUGCUUUGGAAACUGUGCAGCUAGAGUGCAGUAGAGGUAAGUGGAAUUCCUAGUGUAGCGGUGAAAUGCGUAGAUAUUAGGAGGAAUACCAGUGGCGAAGGCGGCUUACUGGACUGUAACUGACGUUGAGGCGCGAAAGCGUGGGGAGCAAACAGGAUUAGAUACCCGGGUAGUC